rnacentral:rRNA from 1 species
UACGUAGGUGUCAAGCGUUGUCCGGAUUUAUUGGGCGUAAAGCGCCCGCAGGCGGCUUGCCAAGUUCGAUGUGAAAUCUCCCGGCUCAACUGGGAGGGUGCAUCGAAAACUGGCAGGCUUGAGGCAGGGAGAGGGAUGUGGAAUUCCAGGUGUAGUGGUGAAAUGCGCAGAUAUCAGGAGGAACACCAAUUGCGAAGGCAGCUCGCUGGGACGUAACUGACGCUGAGACGCGAAAGCGUGGGGAGCAAACAGG